UUUUUUUUUUUUUUGAACACGAUAGUUUUACCUUUGGUAAAGAAAUGAUUUAUUGUUGAUUAAUGUUCCCAAACACUUUUAUCUGUGAGAAAAUGUGGAAAAUUGUUUCUGGAAAAACAUUUUCCUUGAAACAAUCUGACCCUUAAUGGAAUAAAUGUUGAACUGUGUUUUCUCAUGUUUGGAGUGAUGUUAUAAUUUUUUUUUCACCCAAAUGUCAAAAUAUUAUGCUCAAGCAUUUGUGCCAGAAUCGACAUUUUGACAUUUUUAUAAGAUGAGAAGCGGGCAUUUUUGGCUUAUUUUCACAUAGCAUUGUGAUUGAUGUUCUGUUGAAUUGGAGUAAUAUGGUUGUAAUUUUGUUCAUGAAGGCACUACCUGCUUUUAAAAACAAAUUUAAAAGUCACUUCACUUGGCUUCAAUUUGUGUGUGUGACUGUGUGUCACUUGGGUCCGCUUGAAUAUUUUAACCAUAUUGCAAACCACAAGCAGUGAGUUCAUUUGUUUUGAUUUUAAUUCUGUUGUUUUGCUUUUGUAUGCGUAUGCACGUGCAUUCAUGGUCAAGUGUGUGCAUGCUGUUACUGGAUUGCAUAUUGAAGCCAAGCUGUGUGCAUUCAUACUCAUUUUGGAGCACUACAAGAAGAUACUUGACCUAUUAGUUGAUUAAAUAAGUGUCAUACUCUAAAAUGUCUUUCAUCUCAUGAAUUUCAGCAGUUCAGCUUUGAAAUUUCUGUCAAAAGCUGUUCAGCUUUAUGACUGAAAUGUCUAGUUUGCUUAUUUGGAGUUCUAUAUAUUAAGAUGUUUAUAAGGCCGCAGACAAUUUUGCCCCACUCAAUAAUUUCUUACACUAACAAAAUUGUCAUUAUAUGCUAUGCAUUGCAAGUGCACCUAUUGCCUCUCAUGGCAUAUUUCAUCUUUGAUGAAUAAUUGUUAGCCUGUUAAGAUUUCUCUAGAUGUUUCCUUCUCUUUCCCAAUUGUGCUAAUAUUAAAAUGGUGGUAUAUUUUCUGAUUUCUUAAUGUGCAAUGUGAUUUCAAUCUGGCAGGAUUGAAGUCAACUUUGGGCAGAAACAAUUUGCUUUUGAUCUUAAGGAAUAUGAAGCACAGGAAAGGAUGAAGCAACAAAUUACAAUUGAGAAAAUAUCCUUGCCACCAAAUGUCAGUUAUGGACUUGUUCGCGCCUACUUACUGCAUUAUGGCUAUGAGGAGACUCUCAAUUCUUUUGACUUGGCUAGUAAAAGUACUGUCCCUCCUAUAUAUAUAGCUCAAGAGAAUGGGUUUGACGAGCAGGACAUCACAUAUGCAUUAAACCAGAGAAAAACUCUUCGACAGUUAAUUAGGAAUGGUGAUAUUGAUGCUGCAAUUGGUAAACUUCGUGACUGGUAUCCACAGAUUGUUCAGGAUGAAAGAUCGGCC
rnacentral:misc_RNA from 1 species